UCUACAAAUUAUACCGAAAAA
rnacentral:piRNA from 1 species